UGCCAGCCGCCGCGGUAAUACGGAGGGUGCAAGCGUUAAUCGAAAUUACUGGGCGUAAAGGGUUCGUAGGCGGUUAUUUAAGUCAGAUGUGAAAGCCCCGGGCUUAACCUGGGAACUGCAUUUGAUACUGAGUAACUAGAAUGUGUUAGAGGAAGGCGGAAUUCCCGGUGUAGCAGUGAAAUGCGUAGAUAUCGUGAGGAACACCAGUUGCGAAGGCGGCCUUCUGGGACAACAUUGACGCUGAGGAACGAAAGCGUGGGUAGCAAACGGGAUUAGAUA
rnacentral:rRNA from 1 species